UACGUAGGGUGCAAGCGUUGUCCGGAAUUAUUGGGCGUAAAGAGCUUGUAGGCGGUUUGUCGCGUCUGCUGUGAAAUUUCGGGGCUCAACCCCGAACUUGCAGUGGGUACGGGCAGACUAGAGUGUGGUAGGGGAGACUGGAAUUCCUGGUGUAGCGGUGAAAUGCGCAGAUAUCAGGAGGAACACCGAUGCGAAGGCAGGUCUCUGGGCCAUAACUGACGCUGAGAAGCGAAAGCAUGGGGGAGCGAACAGG
rnacentral:rRNA from 1 species